UCCAUUUAAUCUUAAGAGAUGCAUUUGCACUAAAUUUCUGUAGAUAUUUUAGUCACAAUGUAUUUUAUGUUUUCAUUAUUUGCAUUUAGUGUUUUCUUUUCACUUCUGUCUAUGUAUGUUCACUCUUGUGUCACUCUUUUAGGUCCUGUACUGAAGAAAACCUUUGUGAAGAUGAAACUGAAGUCCAGUUCGAGUCUGUCUGAAACUGAAAUGAGGUUCCAGCUCCUGUCGCAGCUUCAGUCUGCUUUGAUGGAACGAGGGUUCUCUGACGUGAUGCUGCAGUGGUCUCAGCCGCCCACAAAGGAAGCGAUGCGGAAGGAAGAUUCACCGGCUCAAUGUGCUGUACGAAAGAGAUGAUGAUGAUGAUGGGGAAACCCACACUUCGGAUCAGCUUUGAUGUUGUUCAUUUACCUCCUGGAAUAUUCUCCAGUCCUCAAUGUUGGUCACAAUAAUGUUGUAUGUGAAAAAUGAAACUACUGAUUCCUGAAACUGAAUUUUGAAACAUGCAAACUUAUUUCUGUAA